AGUAAAUUAAUUUCACCAGUUUUUCCGAGAAAUAUAAAGAUGGCAGACGGAGGACUGAGCUUUACCUUGAGGAAACACUGGAAAAAAUCAACAGUUGCUGCUUGUUUACUUGUGUAUGGGAUAAACUAUGGAUCGAAACGAUACAGGGAGUUUUUAAUCAGAAGAGAAUAUUUUCAAGAAGCUAAGAAAUAUGGGGACCAGUCUUGCAGUCCAUUAGAAAAACCGAGAAGGUUGUAUGUCAUAUUGAAUCCGCAAGCUGGCAACAGUAAAUGUAAAAAGCUUUUUCAGAAAAACGCUGCUCCCAUUUUUUACUUGGCAGGUAUUGAUGUCACCUUCAUACAAACUGAUUAUGAAGGACACGCAAAAACAAUCGCAAACUAUUUUGAUCGUAAUAUGGAUGGUGUUGUUGUUGCUGGUGGUGAUGGAACAUUACAGGAGGUGGUGACUGGUAUGCUUCGACAAGCACAACAUGAUAAUCUUCUGCACCUUCCAAUUGGUGUUUUACCAAUGGGUUAUCACAGUAAUUCAAUCUUUAGCAAGCUAUUCACUCCUGACAAAGUAAAAGUAAAAAAUAUAUGCGAAGCAGCAAUGGCAAUUGUCAAAAACAAAACACGAAAGGUUAGCGUCAUGGAAAUAAAGGCAGAUUCGAAAUCAAGUUUUGCCUUAUCGAGCAUUCAUAUUGGUUUAAAUCAGCAAGUCAAAGAACAGAUUGACCAAGGACGAUUUUGGCUACUGGGACCACUAAAGAAAUAUUUCACAUAUCUAUGGAGAACGACAAAGGAGUGGCCACCAUCUUCGUCGAUCCACGUGUACUCUUCUUCUAUAAGUCCGUUACGAACUUCACUGUCACAAAAACAACAUUCAAUACCUAAUUUGAAAAUACAAACAGCUUCAUGCGAGGAGAGAAAUAAACUCAGGCAAUCUAACAGUGAAAGCAUAGAGAAACCAUGUCAUGAUACGAUUGCAAAACAUGUUAUAUCGUGUGAAAUGACUGGUUCUUACAAGCCAAAUAUAAUAAACUGUAGUGAGAGAAAAGAAUUUUUUAGCAGCGAUAUAAAUUUAUAUUUUCGGGAAGCUGAUGAAAAAAAUACGGGACCCUAUUUUAUAUUGCAAGACCUUAAAGUUGACCAAUCAAAGACAGACUUUAUGAAAUAUGGAGUUCAGUGGAUCCAAAAUAGAUUUAAUUAUACACCCACGGGUACGUAGUAGUUCAGAAAAUUUUAAAUCUGGAUUUGAAAAACAACUGUAGGCGUAAUAUUAUUGACCACAAAAUUAUUUCGUGGUGACUGUUUUCCUACUGACUCAUUCACUUAUUUAUUUUAAAAUAUGUUAAGUAUUUAUUUUGAUUUGUCAGACGUCAAAAUCGACAGCUUGAAUAACGCCCGGCCAUACUUUUAUCCGCAUUUAAUACCUCUUAGACCAGGCAGCAAAUAAUUAUUAAAAUAGAUUUUGCAACCGUGCUGUGAUUGUUGCGAAAUUAGUACAACGCAUGUGCAAUAAAUCAUAUCCGAGUUGAUGGAGAUACGUGCAUGCGUAUAUUCUACACAACGGAAAUUUUUAUCUGCUUUUGCGUAACCAGGGCCUUUACAGAUGUACUUUACAACACACAUUGUUGUUUUUAACAUCACGCCCAGUUUUAAUUAAAGAAGAAAUUUUAACAAUGUAAGGAUUAUCAUGUCCUAUCCGUGUGACACAACUAAGAAUGUUGACAAUAUGAAGCACAGCUUCAAUUUUAUUAUAAAAGUAGGAUAUCUAUUUACAAAUUAUUUCAAUAAAUACAUAAAUAUGGUUUUCAAAAUCUUUUAUAGUAUAGUACAAUCCUUGUGUUUUUCUUUCUUUGGUCCAAGAAAAGCUUCCACCGCUUUCCCUACUAAUGUUUCUAAGCCUUCCCUUUUCACGGCUGAACACUCAGUGAACGCCAGCGAUUCUAGUUUUUCGGCGAGAUGUUCGCCUUGUGUCCAAUUUAUAUAUUCGUCACUGUCGUUAAAAUCGCCGGCGUUGUCAUGGUUUGACUUAGUGAUCGCAUCUCUUACGUCGGUUUUAUUCGCCACCAGAAUAUGAGGUGUAUCGGGACAGUAUGUUUGUAUUUCGGGAAUCCAGUUUUUUUCAACGUUCUCCAAACUCGACUUUGAGUCAGCAGAAUAACAUACUAAUAUUAGGUCUGUGUUUUUAUAUGCGAUAUGUCUGUAGUCCGUUUUGUAACCCGAAAUGAUCCCAUCCCAGAUAACAAACUGUAUCAUUUUUCUUUUCAUAUACAAUUUUACUUCAAAUUUGUUGGCGCUAACUUGUUCUACAGUGCAGUGUCUGUUACUUGGUAUGUUCUUCAAAAUGGACGUCUUACCGACGUUUUUGUCGCCGACAAUUAUAAUCUUUUUUGUCAGAAUGUUUUUAUUUUUUGCCAUCGUUAUGUUUUUUCUGCUCGGCGUGUAAUGUCUGUAGCGUUCAAAACUUUCUCUCUAUAAUAUACACAACAAAAUCUUCUCAACGUUACUUGUCUUCUGACGUUUACAAAUUCUUCACACUUUAAGCUAGCUAUUUCUUCAUGUAUUAUGUAACUAUUGCCAAUUAAAAAAAGUUCGUGCACAGUUGACAUGCGUCGGCUAUUCACUGUGAUAAUGAUGUGUUUCGUCGAUCCAACUGUGUGAACAAGAAAGAUUUGUCAGACACGAUGAUAUGUCAUGAUGUGCGUUUAACUCCUCCUGAAAACGAGGAUUUAUCAUAUGGCAUAGACGGCGAAAUAUUUGAUGCAAGACCUAUUCAGGUGUCAAUCUAUCCCAACAAAUUAGUCAUGUUUUGUGGUGACCAAACGGGCAGAUUGUGAUAUUAAAGAAAAAAUAUGUUAUUAUCUCUCAGUAA